CCUGGACUGACUGGACCGGGGACACAGACCCCUGGACUGACUGGACCGGGGACACAGACCCCUGGACUGACUGGACCGGGGACACAGACCCCUGGACUAACUGGACCAGAGUUACAGACCCCUGGACUGACUGGACCAGGGUCACAGACACCUUUUUAAAAACACAGCUCUUUGGGUGGGGGCGCUAGAGGAGUUAAAGGACAUCAGUUUCCCCAAUGUGCACAGCACUGGAUUGGACACCGAAGAGUUUUAACACUGUUGUGUGUUUUCUGCAGCCCGGAGCACAUCCUGAUUUGCGAAGUGAUGAGAGAUUAGGCUUGAUCUCUCUGCCCCUCCUGACGCUUUGAUUCUGCUGUCUGUGAUUCCGGGCCUCGUGCCUCAGGUCCGACGGCGAACCUUUAUCCGGGCGUCUGACGUCACCGCGCACGUACAACGUAACCUCUUGACCUCCCGCCCGCUCCGGGCCCCGCGAGGAGUCGGAUGGAGAGGGAUGGCGGCCGAGCCGCGUUGCGUUGCGUUCGCGGAAAGCCGGCAGGAAAAGACGCAACAGGGCGACGCGGUAACGUAUCCGGAAGCGACGCCAGACGCGAAUGCAGCCGGUUUGAAGACGUGCUUUCCGUGUCCGUGAAGCGCCGAGGCCGAGCCUGGACGGGCGUCCCACCUGCAGCAGCGAUGAACCUCCACCACCACCCUCGGUCUUCACCCGGCCGAGCUCGGCUUUUCAGCUGGUUUUUUUUUACAUUUAUUUGCCGUUUUCGG